rnacentral:tRNA from 1 species
GCAGGGGUCGGAUAGUCUGGUCAAUUCCGCUAGGUUGAGGGCCUAGUCCCUUAGUGGGUACGAGAGUUCAAAUCUCUCCUCCUGCA